UGUGGGGGUGGGGUCCUAACUGGGUCUCGGUCUUGUGAGCAGGUAUCAGGGACAGAGGUUCAUCCUGAGAAAGAGGGGCCCUCCUAUGGGAGGGGGCCCGCAGACAGAGCGAUCUCCCCUAGGGAGGAGGUUCUGGGUGGAAGGGACCCUCUUGGGAGGAGACGCUGGCUGAAGGGCUCUGGAGUGAAGGGGGCCAGGCAGAGGCUCCCCCUACUAAGGCUGAAGACCUUGAUCCCACCGCUCAAGUGAGUUGAUCAGUGCCCCCGGCCCCGGGCCCACUGGAAGCUGGAGCAGUCUGUCACCAGCUUGCAAGUCUCAGACCCUGACAACUCACUUCCCAGUACUUACUGGUGACUUGCUAAUCAAUACCAGACCACUUACCAGGCACUCUGCCUAGGGGGAGAAUACAUUGCUCCAGUUCUUCAAAGACUUCAAAUACCGUUCCGAGUCAAGAAGCCAAGUUAUACAGCAGUAGGGUUCAUGCGCGCCGGAGAGUGUCCAGUACAGAAGAGGCAUUCAACAACCAACAGCCUUUGUCCUCAGCCCCAAGGAGCGGACACCGUGUUCUCAUGAACUGGUUGGCUACAGUGGCAGGGACUGAGGUCUGUGCGUGAGCAUGGACAACCACUCGCUAAAAGUGCUUCACCCACCCCCUGCCCAAUGCCGCCUCCUUUACCCCCCACCAUGAUCCUGAGAGCACUUCCCAAUAAACCUGCGCCCAGAUCCCAGCCGGAGCAAGCUGCUCACCGACUAUCUGUUGAUAGGAAUUGAACUAACCUGCCUCCAUUGCGGCCCAGGCCAUCUUCCUUCUAUGGUGAAGAGACCCAGCUGAGGCACCCAUCCAAGGCUGGUGACCCAAGCCCU
rnacentral:lncRNA from 1 species